AAAGAUUAGAGUUUGAUCCUGGCUCCGCUGAACGCGAGCAUACUUUAUCACACAUGCUAGUAGACAAGAAUAGUUCUUGAUGCGUACAGGUGAGUAGAAAACGAUGUUUUACCCCCUUUUUUUAAAAAAAACUUAGGGAGAAACUCGUUCUGGAUUAGGUAGUUGGUAUGGUAAAAGCACACCAAGCCCAUGAUCCAUAGCCAAGGAAUUUCAGUCCAAGGCCACAAGGGAACUGAGACAAGGUCCUUCCGUUUAUGCGGCAGCAGUGCAGAAUUUUUGACAAUGGGCGACAGCCUGAUCGAGCUUGUAUGCGUGAGCGAUCCCUUUAAAGCGAUGGGAUAUUUAGAAGGCUAAUGAGUCGUAAACCUCAUAUAUUGAAAUUAAUUAUAUAGAAGUUUCUUUCAAAGCAAGUUCAGACUAAAUGAGUGCCAGCGGUAGCGGUAAAACUCAUUGAGCUAGCGUUCUGCGUAUUUACUAGGCUUAAAGCGCUCUUAGGUUGUACUACAGUACUUUUAAUCAUCUUUAGGAAGGUAGAACGAGCAAAGGAUCGGUGAAAUGAGUUGAUAUUGCUCAGAAUGCCAUAGGCGAAGGCGACCUUCUGAAAAUGGAUUAAAGCUGACGAGCGGAAGCGUGGGGAUCAAAUGGGAUUAGGUACCCCUGUAGUCCACGCCGUCAACUAUGCGUGAAAAACGAGAAAUCAAGAUCACGCCGCCUGGAUAGUACGGCCGCAAGGUUAAAACUCAAAGGAUUUGCCAGUCUUAGCAAUCGGCGCUGGAACAUGCUAUUUAAUUCGAUACAACGCGAAAAACCUUACCACUUUGUG
rnacentral:rRNA from 1 species